AGUUCCACUAAAUCUAUUUCUCUUCUUCUGAUUCCGUUCUCGUUCCACAUGAGCUUCAUUAACUUCUCUCUCAAUUAUUAGAGCUUUAUUUACAACUGAGGCAUAGGUAGUUAGCUCAUAGGGUACAACUUAUUUUCUGAUUUCUGUCUUCAGUCUCAUUUCAAAUUUAUGUACUCUGUCUUGCUCAAUCUCAACUAAUCUUGGAAUAAACUUGGCUAACUCCGUGAAUUUAGCUUCAUAUUCUGCAAC
rnacentral:lncRNA from 1 species